UACGUAGGGGGCUAGCGUUGUCCGGAUUUAUUGGGCGUAAAGAGCGUGUAGGCGGCCAGGUAGGUCUGGUGUGAAAACUCGAGGCUUAACCUCGAGAUGUCAUCGGAAACCAUCUGGCUAGAGUCCGGAAGAGGAGAGUGGAAUUCCUGGUGUAGCGGUGAAAUGCGCAGAUAUCAGGAAGAACACCAAUGGCGAAAGCAGCUCUCUGGGACGGUACUGACGCUGAGACGCGAAAGCGUGGGAGCAAACGGG
rnacentral:rRNA from 1 species